AUAGCUGACGAGUCCCAAAUAGGACAAAAUGUACAUCUUGGAU
rnacentral:hammerhead_ribozyme from 1 species